rnacentral:rRNA from 1 species
AGUCAACAUGCCCAGGGGACGUGGAUAACCUCGGGAAACUGAGGAUAAACCGCGAUAGGCCAUGAUUUCUGGAAUGGUUCAUGGCCGAAAUCUAUAUGGCCCCUGGAUUGGACUGCGGCCGGUCAGGCUGUUGGUGAGGUAAUGGCCCACCAAACCUGUAACCGGUACGGGCUCUGAGAGGAGGAGCCCGGAGAUGGGCACUGAGACAAGGGCCCAGGCCCUAUGGGGCGCAGCAGGCGCGAAAUCUCUGCAAUAGGCGAAAGCUUGACAGGGUUACUCUGAGUGAUUCCCGCUAAGGGGAUCUUUUGGCACCUUUAAAAAUGGUGCAGAAUAAGGGGUGGGCAAGUCUGGUGUCAGCCGCCGCGGUAAUACCAGCACCCCGAGUGGUCGGGACGAUUAUUGGGCCUAAAGCAUCCGUAGCCGGUACUGCAAGUCUUCCGUUAAAUCCACCUGCUUAACAGUUGGGCUGCGGGGGAUACUACAGCGCUAGGAGGCGGGAGAGGCAAGCGGUACUCAAUGGGUAGGGGUAAAAUCCGCUGAUCCAUUGAAGACCACCAGUGGCGAAGGCGGCUUGCCAGAACGCGCUCGACGGUGAGGGAUGAAAGCUGGGGGAGCAAACCGGAUUAGAUACCCGGGUAGUCCCAGCUGUAAACGAUGCAGACUCGGUGAUGGGCUGGCCUUGUGCCAACCCAGUGCCGCAGGGAAGCCGUUAAGUCUGCCGCCUGGGGAGUACGGUCGCAAGACUGAAACUUAA